UAAGCUUAUGUUAUAUUAUUAAUUAUUAUCAUUUUAUGUUUGAGCAUCAUAUUCUUUCGUGUGAAGAAUACCUAAAUUAUAGUCUGUUGUUUAAUAAUUGCUGAGACAUAUUUUUAUGUUGAUAGGUUCUGAUUGGCUGUUGAAGUAAGAGAAGCAGGAAGUGAUUUUAGUUACGAGGAGAGUUGUGUUCUCGAGCGUGCUGCGUUGCAGACAUCUCUCUUUUUUUCCCCUUUUAAUAAAACUGCAUUCAAAUGAU